GGUUGAAGGGGCGGAGCCGGCGCCGUGCCAGGGAGGGCGGGUCACAGGGAGGCUGUCCUAAGUCAGCUGCCCCCGGACCAGGGUUGCCGCCUGGGACCUAGGACUGGUUGUGCCCGGCAGAGGCUGUUUAGGAUCGCCCGAGAACUAUCUCCUUUCCCCAUUAACCACAGAAGACAGGACAGAGAGGAGCAUGGGAGGGGAGAAGAACCCCUAGGGAAGCAGUCCAGUCUCUGCAGUUUCCCCAGCUGGGUCAGAGGGUCCGCCCACCUCUCUUGUUCCCAGGCAGCUCCUGGCCAACUUUUCAGGCAUUCAUAAGGUAGCAGAGAUCGCAUUCCACAUGAGAGACUUUGUUCUUCUUCACCCUCUGAAGAUUCUGAGACAGGAUUUCACCAUAUUAGACAGGAUGGUCUCUAUCUCCUGACCUUGUGAUCUACCCGCCUUGUCCUCCAAAAGUGCUGGCAUUACAGGCAUGAGCCACAGCUCCCGGCCAAGGUACUGUUUUGAACCCUUCUUUGGGAGAUUCCAGAUUUUGUGCUUGAAAAAGGAAAUCUAUGGAGAAUAUACUGAGUAGCCUGCCAUGAUCAUAACAGCGUCUAACAUGUGUUGAACACAUACUAGGUGUCCAUAAUGGAAUUUGAAUCCAGGCGAUCUGACACUAAAAUGCAUUUUCUUAAUCACUAGUCUAGAGGUCCCCAAAGUUUGCCCUGGCCAUUCCCGAGGCCUUUCCAGGGGAUCCACAAAGUCCAAACUAUUUUCCUAGUAAUACUGAGACAUGAUUAGCCUGUUUCUCCUCAUUCUCUCAUGAGCCUGCAGUGGCAUUUUCCAAAGGCUGGGUGAUAUGUGAUAGCGUAACAGAUGGAAUACAAUCUUCUAGAAAGCCAGACAUUCAGGAAGUAAACAAAAAUGAAAAAAUGAUGCUUAGUCAAUUUUUUAUUUAGAAAAUAAAAAGCAUUGAUUUUCAUUAUUUUUAAUACAUUACUAAAUAAAUAUUAAAGAAUAUGUUUAGUUUUAACUCAUAAUAUUGCUAGAUAUAAUCCAGGAAUGUUUUCUAGCGUCCUCAGUAGUUUUCAGUGGUACAGCAGGCUCCCGAGACCGUCGGGUUUGAGAACAGCUGCACCAGGCGGUAUUCCCUUCCGGGUGUGGCUUGCUUAGGUGCCCACCUGAAGCUCAGCCUUCUUCCAGAGCUCAUGGGCCAUGCUGGUGCCUUCCUCAGGCCUUGCCUCACCCCGCCUAGGUGAAGCAUCCUCAGGAGAGCUCCUUCCGGGCAUCCCAGCUCCAUGUGACAGGAAGGCUGAGAAGGAUCUGCUCUUCUGGGUGGGUCACAGAUAUCUUUUUCCACCAGGGGCUGAGCUCCACCCUCUGUUCUUAAAUCUCUGUGUUUCAUACCACAGCUGCCUAUUUAUGAAUCUCACACAUUUGAUGAGGCCAACAGCUCUCUCUAAGAGCUCUCUGUGGAGGGGACAGUGGUAAGUUCACUGUCACUGAAGAUUUUCACAGACAAUGAAAAUCUGUGACAAGCAGGGUAAGAGCCAGUUGGGAGUGCUGUGGAUGGGAUUCUGGAAGGAAAAGACCAAGCCACCUUUUCUGAGAUCCCAUCUAAGUAAAAGCCCUGACUACUUCUAACACCAGCGGCCAUUACUGCUGAUGAGACCAAUCAGGCAGUGCUGUUUUUAUACCCUAAUUCUAGGGUAUACAAGUGAAUUCCAGGCAGCGGCAUUCAUGAAGAGGCUUGCAGUACAUCCAGACCCUGAAGCAUCUGCAGGCCACUGCCUUGUCUGCCGAGACGUUGGGGAAACCAUGGCGUGCACACCACCAGAAGUUAAGUCUGAGCCUUUAAUAAGCAGAUCGGGUGAGUGGAGGAAGCGUGGAACUCCGAGAUGAGGGAAAGUGGCUGAUGCUGGCUUCCUUGCAUGGCUGUGCCCAUUCUAGCUGGGCCAGGUUUCCUUCUCAGUGCUCUCACUCCUCAUGAAUACUCAUGAGGCCCCGUGUUGACAUUACCCUUUACAGCACACACUGUACUUCUACCUGUAUCGGCCAUUAAGAAUUUUGUGAUGAGCGCAUGGGACUCAGUAGUGCCCAAUGACUUGCCCAGUGCAAGUGUCCAGCAGAGCCUAAAUUCAAACCAUGCUUCUUGGGUUCAGAACUCUUUUCCCUACACCAGACUGUUCUCUGACACCUGCAGAGGCCAGGUGUCAGUGAACAGGAGGGAAUGAAUGCUCUCUUGGCCUGGUCCAGGCAAGAUGUCUCCCACACCCCUCAUCUCUAAGACUCUGCGCAGCCCACAGUGACCCAGCAACCUCCUGACCCUGGAACCUAUGACAUUGUCUGAAAGCUAAUGCCUGGACAAGAGGAACCAGCAAGGUGCAUACAGAUACCCGCUGGCAGGCAAAGACGGGGGAGAGGAGGCAGCAAACUCACAUGAUUGAAUCCUUUAUAUUGGCAGGCACCGUACUAGACAUUUUAUUUUAAAAGUAAACUUUUUAUUCAACCAAACCAUACAUGAAGAAAAGCAUACAGAUCAUAAAGGAAUAGCUUGAUGAAUUUUCAUGAAAACAGCAUAACUAAUACAGCACCUAGAUCAAGAAGCAAGACAUGGCAGCCCCCAGUCGCCAUAGCGGCCUGAGAGCACCCCAGCCCAAAAGCUAAGCAGGGUCUGGCCUGGCUGGUGCUUAGAUGGGGGACCACAUGGAAAGUCCAAGUCUGGAGGCUAUUGGCUUCCUGUCCCCACUGCCCCCCCCCAAAAAAAAAAAACAAGAUAUUACCAGCACUCCCAGAAAUCUCUCAUGUGCCUCCUUCUAGGAACUACCCCCAAGGACACCCACCACUCUGACCUCCAACACCAUGGAUUGGCUUUGAGUGUUUUAAAGUUUAUAUAAAUGGACAUGCAAGAUGCACUUUUCAGCGUCUGGCUUCUUUCUCUCUCCAGACUGAAAUGCAUCCGUUACUACAUAUGCAGUUUGUUCAUUGUUGCUAUUGUGUAAUAUUCUGCAAUAUUCUGCUGCAUGAUUAUGCCAUGCUUCACUUCCGCAUUUGCUGUUGGUGGACUUUGGGUGGCUUCCAGGGUUUGGCUUUUGCAAACAGUGCUAUGAACAUGUGGUCAUCCUCGUAUGUGCCUUUCGGCAGUUUUAUGCACGUCUUUCUCUUGGGUGUAUAACUAGAAGUGAAAUUGCCGGGUGUAUGGCAGUAUGUAUGUUUACUUUGUAAGAGACUGCCGGAUAGCUUUCCAGCAUGGAUAUACCCACCUCCACGCCCACCUCCGGCGCCUUGGUGUUCGGGUUUCCCCAUGGCUUUACUAGCUGUAAUUGCACCAGGCAGUUUGCAUGUGUCAUUUUGCUGCAGUCUCGGUAGUGUUUGCGAGUGUGAACUCUGAAGCCAGACAGCCCAGGUUCUUAUGCAGACACCACCCUUUUAAUAGCCCUAAGACCGUGGCCAACUUCCCUAGCCAAUCUGCACCUCAGUUUUCUCAUCUGUUAAGUGAGAAUAAGAACAAUAGCCCUGGCCAGGCAUGGUGGCUCACCCCUAUAAUUCCAGCAAUUUGAGAGAUUGAGGUUGGUGGAUCAUCUGAGGUUAGGAGUUCAAGACCAGCCUGGCCAACACAGUGAAACAUCGUCUCUACUAAAAACACACCAAAAAAUAGCUGAGCAUGCUUGUGCAUGCCUGUAAUCCCAGCUACUUGGGAGACUGAGGCAGGAGAGUCACUUGAACCUGGGAGGUGGAGGUUGCAGUGAGCUGAGAUGGCACCACUGCACUCCAGUCUGGGCAACAGAGUGAGACUCUGUCUAAAAAACAAAACAAAAAUAGCCCUAUCCUCUUAGGGUGGUGGUGCCUGUCACAUGGUUACCACUCCACAGAUGUUGGGUCUCACAGUUAUUCCAAGUGGGUACCAGGAGGACUCCACAGUGGUCUUUAGGGGGCGCCUGGGAAGCCCCUGCCCCUCAGCCUCUUCCAUUGCCCAUGGCUGGCUCCUCUUGGAGAGUGCUGUUGGUAGCCAUGUCUGUGUCAGAUGCCUGCGAAUGGGGAGUCCAGGGUCCAUUCUGUGGAAUGCAAAGAUGAAUAUGUCCUAUGGUUCCUGGGGAGGGGCUCACUGUCUAGUGGGGCAGGAGAUCCAGGGACAAAUUGUGACCCGACUGUGACAGAGAAGCUGGUAUGGGGCAGAUAGGGAGUGGGAGGAUGUGCUGAGCUAACUGUGCAUGGGGGUGUCAGGGAGAACUUCUCAGAUUUAUACUUGAUGCACCUGAGGGGUGAAUCAGGUAUGAGUCAACCAAAUGUGAACAGAGAAUCACUAGCUGUGGGCUGGGAGUGGGGAGCAGGCUUCUUAUUUCAGUGUUUCCCAAAGAAGAACGGGGCUAAAGAGAUCCCCAGGUUCGUAUGGACAGUUGCCUUUUCUCUUCUCACUACUUUUCCAGCUCCUUCCCCAUACACAUAGUCCCCGAAUUGCUUUGGAAGAGCUGGCGGUUAUGUAGAGGAAAAGUCUGACAUAUUCAGAACAAAGUGCGGAAAUCAAAUUUCAAUAAUAGUUGGUCCAAUGGGCUAAGCUUUUAAGUAAAUGAAAGACUAAUCAAUAUUUCUUUUUGUUCACAUUUUUAGAAAAGAUGGUUUCCUAUCCCCAUUUAGUUUUUACCUUCUAAUUGUUAGCCAGAGGAGAGGCUUUCCCAUUUUUAAACCGAGCAUCGCUGUGAAUCAUGCUGCAUUAAUAGGAAAGUUUGUACUCAUGGCGACUAACGGUGCUGGAAAAUAGAAACACAGUUUUCUAUGAAAACUGCAUGAGAUGAACAGCGCCCAUGAAGAAAGCUUUUUAAAGAAAACAAUCCUGGUACUGUUAGGGCCAAAAUACACACGAAAAAUUCCCUUGGAGUCACAACCAACUGAAACAGAAGCGGAGUCACAGAGCUCAGGAAAGGGAGACCUGGCACGUCCCCUAGACCUUCUGAGCCACCGUUUCCUCCUUCAUAGCCAGGGAGGGCUAAGCCAGAGGCCUCAAAUGGCCCAUUCUAGCACCACCAUUUGGAGAUUCUAAAAAUAACCUGAGCACUGGAGAAUACCUGCCUAAUUUUCUCUCCUACCAUCCUUUCAACAGCCUGCUCUGGGCUCCCUGGCUCAGUUCCCCCUGAAUCUGUCAUUAGAACACCCCAGCAUUCUACCAACCUUUCCUGCUUGUUCUUCCACUGAAAGAGAAGAAGGCUGUGAAGUGCUGGGCGAUUCUGGCCACUCUCAACCAGACAGUGACACUGAAGCCUCAGCCCCCAACAUCAUCCACGAAAAGCAGACACCUUGCUCUCUAGGCUGUUUUCAAUCCUGAGACUGACACUCUUAGCCAGAAAACACUUCAGUUAAAAAUUUUAAUCAUCGUCAUCAUCAUCAUCAUCAUCAUCAAAAAUCUAAUCUAGAGACCAGUCAAUCCGUACCUCUUAUUGACAGGAAAUACACCAGGCACCCAGGUCUUAAAGUAGUUUCCUGAAAUCACAUAACUGUUAGUGACAGAGCCAGGACUGAGUCCCAGGCUUUCCUGCCAACAUAGCAGUGUUUUUAUUAACUAGAGAAGGAAAAGGAACUAACAUCUCGGACCAGGAGCUGGUGAGUGCCCUGAAUCUCGGAUGACCUGGGAAGAUUGCUAUCAUUGACCCCAUUUCACAGAUGAGGUCACUGAGGCUCAGAAUCACAUCUUGGUUAUUUUUGGUGGCAGGAGAAGUAAAACCUUCCUGCUUACAAAGCCUCACGUUCCCCGGCCUGGCCUGUCACGUCCCUUGUCGGCAUUUUGGGUUUUUUUUUUUUUUUUGAGAUGGAGUUUCGCUCUCAUUACCCAGGCUGGAGUGCAAUGGCGCGAUCUCGGCUCACCGCAACCUCCGCCUCCUGGGUUCAGGCAAUUCUCCUGCCUCAGCCUCCUGAGUAGCUGGGAUUACAGGCACACACCACCGUGCCCAGCUAAUUUUUUGUGUUUUUAGUAGAGACGGGGUUUCACCAUGUUGACCAGGAUGGUCUCGAUCUCUUGACGUCGUGAUCCACCCGCCUCGGCCUCCCAAAGUGCUGGGAUUACAGGUGUGAGCCACUGCGCCCAGCCGGCAUUUGGGGUUUUUAGAGAACAACACUUGCAUUUUAGACUUUCGUUUUUAAAGCACCAACCGACUCCUCUGACUCAUAUUUCCUGGGUGCACAUUCUGUGGGAUGCAAAGAUGAAUAUGUCCCAGGGGCUCUCUGUCCACUGGGGUACAAUUGUGACCUAGCUGUGUCAGAGAAGCUGGUGUGGCACAGAUGAGGAGCAGGAGGAUGUGCAGAGCUAACUGUGAGGACAUCAGGGAGGGCUUCUUGGAGGUAGUGGCAGGAGCCGAGGCACACAGGAUGAGGAAUCAUUUAUCCCAAGCAGCAGGAGAAGAGCUGGCUUUAUCUAGGUGGAAAAAUCAAGACUUUGGUAUAAAAACAGAUGUAAUUUUGCAGCUCAAAAGAACUAGACUAACAGAAAGACAUAAUCAGGUCUCAGGAUAAUCAACAAAAGGGCUUCAGCUUCCCACAUUCAACAUCAUUUUUAUUAGUGUUAUUUUAACUUAUCUUUACUGCUAAUGGCCCACAGCCACCCACUUUCGAGACAGCUUCCCGGCAACACCAGCUCUCUGAUCUAAUUUUAUCCACAAGAGAUUUGAGUUUAGAAGAACAUGUGAAGAAGCUUCACUUGGUAGAAGGAGGCCAGAGGGAACUGGCGCCCUGGACCUUGGCCCCCAGCAUUAUCCAUGAAAAGCAGACCCCCUCUGAAGCAUGGACACAGUCGAGGGGCAGACGUUGGGGAAGAUUUGACAGCUGCAAAACUGACUAUGGAAGGUCACGCCUCUGAGGGACAGCCCCUUAGGCCACCACCCAUGCUGUAGUUCCCCAGCUCUGGGGAGGGUAACAUGAGUCUUUGGAACGUGUAUUUUAUUUUUGUCCUGCGUGGGUUUAGAGCCUAAAUGAGGUCUCUGCCUUCAGAGCAGAAAGUAGCAGUUACUCUAAUUGACCUGGGGAGGAGCCCUGGCUACUUUCCCCUGGGAUGCCACUCUGUAGGUCAUACAAGGGCACCUCCAAGGAAGGCUCUUUGGGUAUCCCUGGUGAUAAGCCUCCUGUGUCAAUGUGUCUGUGCAGAGGGAUGGGUUCACAGCUGUUCCAAGGGUGCACAGGAGAAGUCACCACAAAGUCUCUUUAUGACUCAGGCCUGCAGGGUGGGUGCAAGAGGAGAGAGUACAGAUUCCAGUAUGAAUCAGCCAUCACUCCUAGCCCAGCAGCCUGCCAGCCUGCCAGCCUUUGCCACUCCCUUCUGAUGCCAGCCUAUCUUCCAGCCUGUGCUCCACUGAUGCCUGGAGGACUGCUCCUCAGUCAUCCACUGUCAACACAAAUUAAUCUGUAGAUUUAAUGCAAUCUCAGUCAAAAUCCCAACAAAGUCAGAAUCUUCUGCUCUGCAAAAGACAUUAAGAGAAUGAGAAGACAAACCACAGAUGGGGAGAAACUAUUUGCAAAAAAUAUGUCUGAUCAAGGACUGUUAUCCAAACUAGAUGCAGAACUCUUAAACUUCAACAGAACAAAAACAAGCCAUCCAAUUUCAAAAUGGGCAAAAGAUCUGAACAGACAUCUCUGCAAAGAAAACACACAGGUGCUAAGAAUACACUUCAGGUGUGUGUUUCUGCCCAAAUCUCGUGUUGAAAUGUAAUCCCCAAAGUUGGAAGUAGGGCCUGGUGGGAGGUGACUGGGUCAUGGGGGCAGAUUUCUCGUGGAUGGUUUAGCAGCGUCCUCUUGGUGCUUUCCUCACCAUAGGGACCGAGUUCUCUCAUGAGCUCUGGUUGUUUAAAAGUGUGGAGCAUCCCCCCUUUUCUCUCUUGUUCCUGCUCUAGCCAUGGGUUGUGCCUGUGCCCCCUUUGCCUUCCACCAUGAUUCUAAGUUUCCUGAGGCCUCCCCAGAACAAACUCUUUCUUAACAUAUGAUUCAUCAAUCGUGUGUCUUGAUAUUUUCCCAAACGAGUUGCAAAUGACAUCCACACAAAAACAUACCCAUAGAUGUUUAUUGUAGCUUUAUCCAUAAUUGCAAAACUUGGAGGCAACCGAGAUGUCCUUCAAUGGGUGAAUAAACAUUUUUUACAGUAUCAUGAUGCCAGUUAGGCUGUAGUAUUAUUUUGACACCAAUCAUUCAGAGCUGUUGUUUUUUAAAUUUUUCCAAAUUUUAUUAAGAGAAGCCAAGCAGAUGUCAGCAUCAUGCUUCCUAUAUAGCCUGUAAAAAACCAUGAGCCAAUUAAACCUCUUUCCUUUAUAAAUUACCAGCCUCAGGUUUUUUUUUUUUUUUUUUGAGAUGGAGUUUCGCUGUUGUUACCCAGGCUGGAGUGCAAUGGUGCGAUCUUGGCUCACCGCAACCUCCACCUCCUGGGUUCAGGCAAUUCUCCUGCCUCAGCCUCCUAAGUAGCUGGGACUACAGGCACGCACCUCCAUGCCCAGCUAAUUUCUGUAUUUUUAGUAGAGAUGGGGUUUCACCAUGUUGACCAGGAUGGUCUCGACCUCUUGACCUCGUGAUCCACCCGCCUCAGCCUUCCAAAGUGCUGGGAUUACAGGCAUGAGCCACCGCGCCCGGCUCAGGUAUUUCUUUAUAGCAAUGUAAGAAGGGACUAAUACAGAUGGCAAGUAAGCACAUGCAAAGAUACUCAACAUCACAUGUCAUCAGGAAAACGCAAAUCAAAACAAUAAUGAGAUACCUCUACAUGCCUAUUAGAAUGGCCAAAAUCCAGAAUGCUGAUGACAGCAAGUGCUGGUGUGGAUGAGGAACAACAGGACCUCUCCUUCAUUGCUGGUGAGGAUGAGGAGCGACAGGACCUCUCCUUCAUUGCUGGUGAGAAUUCAACAUGGCACAGCCACUUCGGAAGACAGUUUGGUGGGUUCGUACAAAACUAAACGUACUCUUUCUUACCAUAUGAUUCAGCAAUCAUGCACUUUGAUAUUUCCCCGAGUGAGCUGAAAAUUUAUAUUCAUACAAAAAUAUACCAGAGAUGUUUAUUGCAGCUUUAUCCAUGAUUGCCAAAACAAGUUGUCCUUCAAUAGGUGAAUGGAUAAACGUUUCUCCAUAGUAUCAUGAUGCCACCUUGACUCUCACCUAAAACACUGAUAUUAGGCUGUGGGGUCGUUUUGAGACCAAUCAUUCAGAGUUGUUUUUUUUUUUUUUUAAUUAAUUUUUCCAAUUUAUAUUAACACUAAGAACUUUUGGACUGAUAAAUUUCGAUGAUCCCCAAACAGAAUAAGCAUAAAGUUCAAAAGUGUAUAAAACUAAUCACUACAUUAUUUAGGAAUAGAUACAUAUAUAGUAAAAAAAUUAAAUAGCAAAGGCAAGACGAACAAAUUUCAGGAUAGAGGUUAAGUCUGGGGAGAAGGAUGGGGCACUCGAAGGCUCUAACUGUAUUAGUAAAAUAUUUAGCUCAAAUGACCUAAGGAGUAAAUAAGUAUUUUUAUUAUUCUUCUUUAAAUUGAAUAUAUAUGAAGUAUUUUUGCAGGAUGAUAGAUAUCACAAUAAAUAGAAAAUAAAUUAA